rnacentral:rRNA from 1 species
GCAAACAAGCUUUGAUCCCGCGAUUUCCGAAUGGGGAAACCCAGUCUUAGGACUAUCCGAAAGGAAGCUAACCCGGAGAACUGAAACAUCUAAGUACCCGGAGGAAAGGAAAUCAAUUGAUACUCCCCUAGUAGCGGCGAGCGAACGGGGACCAGCCGAGCCUUGAGUGUGAGAAGAACCUGUUGGGAAGCAGGACCAUAGGGGGUGAUAGUCCCGUAUUCGAAACAUGAUAGGACGUAUUAAGUAGGGCGGAACACGUGAAAUUCUGUCUGAAGAUCGGAGGACCACCUUCGAAGGCUAAGUACUCCUAACUGACCGAUAGUGAACCAGUACCGUGAGGGAAAGGUGAAAAGCACCCCGACAAGGGGAGUGAAAUAGUUCCUGAAACCGGAUGCCUACAAGCAGUCGGAGGGCGAAAGCCUGACGGCGUACCUUUUGUAUAAUGGGUCAACGACUUAGUGUUGUAUGCAAGCUUAAACCGUUAGGUGUAGGCGCAGCGAAAGCGAGUCUGAAUAGGGC